AUUGAACGCUGGCGGCAGGCCUAACACAUGCAAGUCGCGCGGAGCGGCGGACGGGUGAGUAAUGCCUAGGAAUCUUCCUGUGAGUGGGGGAUCACGUCCGGGAACGGGCCCUAAUACCGACUGCUAUCUGAUGAGCCUAGGGCGAAUUAGUUAGAUGGUGGGGUAAAGGCCUACAAAGGCGACGAUCCGUAACUGGUCUGAGAGGAUGAGCAGUCACACUGGAACUGGGACACGUUCCAGACUCCUACGGGAGGCAGACGUGGGGAAUAUUGGACAAGGGGCGAAAGCCUGAUCCAGCCAUGCCGCGUGUGGGAAGAAGGUCUUCGGAUUGUAAAGCACGUUAAGUUGGGAGGCGUUACCAACAGAAUAAGCACCGGCUAACUUCGUGCCAGCAGCCGCGGUAAUAC
rnacentral:rRNA from 1 species